rnacentral:lncRNA from 1 species
AAAUUAUAAGCAUAGCUAGUCGCAGACUUUCAUUAGGCAUUCAUAAAUCACAAAAAAUAAUCACAUUUACAAUCAUUUAAACACAAAACAGAAUCACAAGAAACAUCACAACCACGUUCAUCUAGCCAAAGAACAAAAUUACUUCACAUUCACAAUCAUUUGGGCACAAAACAAAAUCAAAAAAAUCAUCACCACUGUCAGAUCUGGCGGUUGGAGCCCGGAUCCGCCCAGAAGCUCCAAAUCCGGCCUACGCAUGCAAGCUUGGGCCAGUGGAGGUGUAGACGGAGGCGCGGUUGGUAGUAGAGGCGGUGGAGCCCACGGGUGGUGGCGUAAGCGGCGGUCGGAGGUGGAGGGCUCCGCCAUCAGGCCGCCACCGCCUCUCCUCCCGUC